AACGAACGCUGGCGGCAGGCCUAACACAUGCAAGUCGAGCGAGGACUUCGGUCCUAGCGGCGGACGGGUGAGUAACGCGUGGGAACGUGCCCCUUGGUACGGAAUAGCCCCGGGAAACUGGGAGUAAUACCGUAUGAGCUCUACGGAGGAAAGAUUUAUCGCCAAGGGAUCGGCCCGCGUUGGAUUAGGUAGUUGGUGGGGUAAUGGCCUACCAAGCCGACGAUCCAUAGCUGGUUUGAGAGGAGGAUCAGCCACACUGGGACUGAGAUACGGCCCAGACUCCUACGGGAGGCAGCUGUGGGGAAUCUGAGACAAUGGGCGCAAGCCUGAUCUAGCCAUGCCGCGUGAGCGAUGAAGGCCUUAGGGUUGUAAGGCUCUUUCAGCUGGGAAGAUAAUGACUGUACCAGCAGAAGAAGCCCCGGCUAACUCCGUGCCAGCCGCCGCGGUAAUAC
rnacentral:rRNA from 1 species